ACUAGAAGGGAUCCUGAGAGAACAUUCAGCUCAUCCUCUGUCCCACAACAUUAUGCAGGUGAAUCACUCUUUUCUUGAACAUAACUGAGAACACCUACAUUCACUUCUGCGAAGAAGAAAGAAUGGUUUUAACGAUACCCUCGCUCUCAGCCAAUCUUCAUAGCUACAAUUGGAUGGAGGCCAGGAGACUGUAAGGAAGACCAACCCUCUGGUAGAAAAAAGGAUCCUACAUAAACCUAUCCUUCUCAACGGACUAUGCACCAUCGAAGACCAGAAAAACCAAUCCACAUCCUCUUUUAGGAACCUCUUCUUGUCUUUUAAGAUUAUCAUCAGUCUCUCUCUUUUUCAAGGUUUUUUGUUCAUCCUGAAACUUAUCAAGAUGACGACCAUUUCUGGACACAUGUAUUGGGAUAAAGCCUCACACGUGCUGCUACAUCCAUUCCCACCAUAAAAUAUGUUUUUGUACAAGAAUAUACCUGUAUGUUUAAAGAUGUCAUGUGGAAAUAAAAACAAGUCUUGAAGAAGUCUUGAAGAAAGAUUGAAGGUGGAGCUCUCAGUGGUUUUUUUACAGCAACCGGACAGCAGAUGAAACAAGUAAAUUUCCAGAAUCCUCCAUCAUUAUACAGUUUUCAACUAUCUUCAAUUAUUCAUCAAGCCAUAUAAUUUGCUGAUUUGCUUAGAACAGGGAGUGGAGAGAUGGCCUCUUGAGAAAUCUAGUAUUGUUUUCUGUUGUUACACAUAGAACAAUCAAGAAAUUACUAACCUGUUAAGCUUUUGCAGAUAAUUGAUUUUCAUUUUCUACAACAUACCUUUUACAAAUGUAGUAGAAAUUUAUUAGCAGUUAAUGAAAGCAAUAAUGUUGGGAGAUGAACUCAUACACAAUUUUUAAUCAGUAGCAAAAUAAUUUCUUUUCCUUUUAAUUAAAAAUGUACAGAAAAUUUACAAACAUCCACUCAUUUAAACUGAGGUAUUUCCAUUCUUUUUUUAAAAAAAUACAAUAUAUUUUACAAUAAAGUGCAAUAUGUAAAAUAUUUUUUGCCCUAAAUGUAAACUAGGUAACAAGCAAUCGAUACUUGUGUUACAUCUUUAUUUUGUUUGGUUUUGAUAGCAUUUAAGGCAUGUUGCAAAUAAUUAUAUGUUACAAAGAUAGCAGCUGAGAAUAUAUUAAAAUAGAUCCCAGUUCAACAGCCUUUGUGAGGCCAAGUCAAUAUCUUCUCUGUGUUAGGGGUUGAGUGUAAGCAGAUGUGCUCCUAUAUCUCUGCAUAGGAGGCAUGAUGUCCAUGUGCGAGGGAGAUCCGACCUAUAAGAAGAAAACACAACAAAAUCAUUCAUAGCAACUUAAAAGAAAUUAUUCUGACAAUAAUAUGCUAUUUUCUAUUAUAAAUCACUUGCAACAAUUUGUGUCCAAGCCAGAACUAGUACUAUGUUUGCUAAUUGUAGUGAGAGUGACAUUUACUAAACAAAGUACAGAAACUUAAGAAAAGAAUGGUCAACAGAAUUUGGGGGGUUAUUAAAUGAGAAAACAACAGUUUCUAAUUUAAGGGGCGUUGAGGGGCCAUAGGAUGCUAUGGACCUCUCUCCUAUGGUGGGGAGAAAGGGCUGCCACUGGAGACCACCACUGCCACUGUGCACAUCAGAAGUACACAUCUUGCUAGAUCAGAUUAAAAUCAAUGUAGUCCAGCAUUAUGGUUCACACAGUGGCUAAACGUAUGUGUCUGAAAGCCCACAAGUGAAUGAUUAUCUGCAGCAUUUGCAUCCUAUAAACAACAUAUUGUUCAUGUGGCUAUUACAAUGGAAGAGCAAACAGGUAUGCUUACCAAAGGGGAAAUAGUCUGCAAAACACUUGUAGACAAUGGGAGUUUGUUCAUGGUUUCAUGGACAUCUAAAAUUAUAUAAAAUAAGAUACUGGUAUUAUAUGGUAGGAAAAAAACAAAGUGUACAUUCAUUUAUACUUCCUUCAGAUAGUAAUACAGACUUUGGCUUGUAUCCAACAUAGCAUCGAGUAAGCAUCCCGUCAUUGCAAGGAUUCCUGUUUAUGCUAUGGAAGUCCCCCCCCCACUUCUCCUUUCCCUGCACACCCCCUGUAUCUGUUCUGGAGUUUCCCCUAACCCUAUAGAUUUGUGGAGAGCACUGGUCAGGCAUGGGGGAGGAGAGGGAGGAAUGACCCAUUGCACAAGCAGAAAUUCUUGCAUUGACAGGAUGUUUAGCACUACAUUAGAUACAAGCCUACUGCAAUGUUACCUACAUUUUUUUCUUUGAUGGAAUGUAGAAGCAUUUAUUCUAUUUCAUAUUAAUCAAUUUAUUUCAAACUCAAGGUUUCUCAAUGUGUAUUAGUCAUGAUAGCUAUAUGGAAACCUUCAUGCUCAGAAGCAGACUGAGUGCCAGUUGCUACAGAGCUACAAUGGGAAAGGGCAAUUGUUUGGGGGCUUCCGAAAGGCACUUGGUUGGCCACUGUGGGAAACAGAAUGCUGGGUUAGAUGGAUUUUCCUAGCACAGAGCUCAUUCUAUGUUCUCAAUCAUCAAGUUCAGCUUCUUUGGGCCAUUCAGUCUGCAAGUGGGUAGUAGCUUUGAAUUCACUGAUAAGUAAUGCUGUUUCUGGACCGGGAUAGCCUGACCACUGUUGUCCAUGCACUGGUAACGUCCAGGUUGGAUUACUGUAAUGCGCUCUAUGUGGGGCCUGCCCUUGAGGUUGGUCCAGAAACUGCAGCUGGUGCAAAAUGCGGUUGCCAGACUGUUCACUGGGGCAGGGUAUCGCCAACAUGUCACCCUGCUGCUGGAAGAAUUGCACUGGCUGCCCAUUUGCUACCAGUCCAAGUUCAAGGUUCUAGUUUUAAUGUACAAACUUUACUGUGGCGGCAUCUACCCUGUGGAACUCCCUCCCCUUAAAUAUUAGACAGGCGCCAUCUCUGUUAUCUUUUUGGCACCUACUGAAGACCUUCUUCUUUCAACAACCCUUUUAAGUUGAGACCUUAUCCCAGUCUGCUUCAGUGUU